rnacentral:rRNA from 1 species
GACGAACGCUGGCGGCGUGCCUAAUACAUGCAAGUAGAACGCUGAAGAGAGGAGCUUACUCUUCUUGGAUGAGUUGCGAACGGGUGAGUAACGCGUAGGUAACCUGCCUUGUAGCGGGGGAUAACUAUUGGAAACGAUAGCUAAUACCGCAUAACAAUGGAUGACACAUGUCCUUUAUUUGAAAGGGGCAAUUGCUCCACUACAAGAUGGACCUGCGUUGUAUUAGCUAGUAGGUGAGGUAAUGGCUCACCUAGGCGACGAUACAUAGCCGACCUGAGAGGGUGAUCGGCCACACUGGGACUGAGACACGGCCCAGACUCCUACGGGAGGCAGCAGUAGGGAAUCUUCGGCAAUAGGGGCAACCCUGACCGAGCAACGCCGCGUGAGUGAAGAAGGUUUUCGGAUCGUAAAGCUCUGUUGUAAGUCAAGAACGGGUGUGAGAGUGGAAAGUUCACACUGUGACGGUAGCUUACCAGAAAGGGACGGCUAACUACGUG